GGGUCCUCUCCCUUUGUGUAGGAGCUCUGUUUUCACGCUACUAAAUCUUGCAACUGCACUCUUCUGGUCCGUGUUUAUUACGGCUGGAGCUGAGCUUUCACUCGCCCUGCACCACUGCUGCUGGCUGCCGUCACAGACCCGCCACUGACUUCCAUCCCUCCGGAUGCGGCAGGGUGUCCGCUGUGCUCCUGAUCCAGUGAGGCGCCCAAUGCCCCUCCCAAUCGGGCUAAAGGCUUGCCAUUGUUCCUGCACGGCUAAGUGCCUGGGUUUGACCUAAUCAAGCUGAACAUUAGUCACUGGAUUCCACGCUUCUCUUCCAUGACCCACGGCUUCUAAUAGAGCUAUAACACUCACCGCAUGGCCCAGGAUUCCAUUCCUUGGAAUCAGUGAGGCCAAGAACCCCAGGUCAGAGAACAUGAGGCUUGCCACCAUCUUGGAAGCGGUCUGCCACCAUCUUGGGAGCUCUGGGAGCAAAGACCCGCCAGUAACAUUUUGGUGACCACGAAGGGACCUCCAAAGUGAUUUCUUCAGAAGAUGAAAUAGAUCAUCUGCCUUAAGGUUCUGGACCAGUGUAUGCAACACAAUAAACGUUCAGGAAAUGGUUGCUAUGAUGAUGACGACGAUGAUUAUGACAACAAUGAUGAUGAUGAAAUGAGUUGGCUUCAGCCCAGAGCAGAAUAUGUUCCCUAAUAAAGUAUGAGGAUGUCAGCACAUGCCAUUUGUGUCCCACCCAAAGCUGCAAACUUACUUAAAGUUUAUCUGUAGCUUCAGGGGACAAUUUCCAUAAUGACUGAUGGCAUUUUACCCUGGGUGUGGAUCUUCAGGAGGUUGCCUCUCCCUGGCUGCAGAAUUAUCAUUUUUAGAGAAGCAGUGUGAUAAUCGUGGAACCAUCCCCUACAUUCCUUCACCCAGGAAGGAAGCAAUAUGAGCUGUGUGCACUGUACACUAUAGCAAUGGAGAAUCUGAUUUGACAAGCCAAAGAUCCUACAUUGGUUGCACACAUCAUGGAUAGCCUACGAACUUCCCUUUAAAGAAAGCUACGUAGAAGCAGGAUGAGUAAAAAUUUACAAACUGAAACAGGAACAUUUUCAAGGUGGAGCACAGUGGCGUGAUCUCAGCACACUGGAACCUCCGCCUCCCAGGUUCAAGCAAUUCUCCUGCGUCAUCCUCUCGAGUAGCUGGGACUACAGAUGUGCACCACCACACCUGGCUAAUUUUUUUGUAUUUCUAGUAGAGACAGGGUUUCACCAUGUUGGCCAGGCUGGUCUCAAACUCCUGACCUCGUGAUCCACCUGCCUCUGUCUCCUAAAGUGCUGGGAUUACAGGCAUGAGCCACCAUGCCUCGCCAAUUGAGAGCUAAUGGUUUUAAAGUGUGGCACUUCCCCAUGCACUCUCUCUCUCCUGCUGCCUUAUGAAAAACGUGUUUGUUUCCCCUUUACCUUCUACCAUGAUUGUUAAGUUUCCUGAGGCCUCCCCAGCCAUGUGAACCGAGUCAAUUAAACCUCUUUCCUUUACAAACUACCCAGUCUCAGGUAGUAUCUUUAUAGCAGUGUGAAAACAAACUAAUACACCAAAUAAGACUGAAGAAACUUAUGCUCAUCUCCAAACACUAUCUGCCAUGCUAUAAGCCAUUAGAACUCAUCUGUUUUACAAUCAGGUUUAAAGAAAGUAAGCUCAUGUCAAGGGCAGGGAUGAUUUCCAACAGAAUUGUGUUGCCCUCUCAUUAAUUCAAUGGCUAUAUUAAUUUUGAAAAUAAUGUAAUUAGCAAAUAGUGGCAGAAACAAUACACAUUUUCCCUCUCCUUUAUUUAAAAUGCAUGAUCAUGAUCUGUCAUUUAAUGAAUUCUAAAGAUAACAAAAUAUUAAAUUAUCUUCACCCUGCAAUAGAGGAUCAUGAAGCACAAAAAUGUAGAAAAGUAUGUUUUCCUGAGCUGAUGAUCUCCCAGUAGCAUGAG
rnacentral:lncRNA from 1 species